GACGAACGCUGGCGGCGUGCUUAACACAUGCAAGUCGAACGGAAAGGCCCUGCUUUUGUGGGGUGCUCGAGUGGCGAACGGGUGAGUAACACGUGAGUAACCUGCCCUUGACUUUGGGAUAACUUCAGGAAACUGGGGCUAAUACCGGAUAGGAGCUCCUGCUGCAUGGUGGGGGUUGGAAAGUUUCGGCGGUUGGGGAUGGACUCGCGGCUUAUCAGCUUGUUGGUGGGGUAGUGGCUUACCAAGGCUUUGACGGGUAGCCGGCCUGAGAGGGUGACCGGCCACAUUGGGACUGAGAGACGGCCGAGACUGCUACGGGAGGCAGCAGUGGGGAAUAGUGCGCAAUGGGCGGAAGCCUGAUGCAGCAACGCCGCGUGCGGGAUGACGGCCGUCGGGUUGUAAACCGAUUGCGCCUGUGACGAAGCGUGAGUGACGGUAAUGGGUAAAGAAGCACAGGCUAACUACGUG
rnacentral:rRNA from 1 species